CAGGGGGAUAAGCGGAAGAAAUUCCGUCUAAUACCGCGUAAUAACUCCGAGAGGCAUCUCCUGGGGUUUAAAGGGUAACACCGGCUACGGAUGGCCAUGCGGCGCAUUAGCUAGUUGGCGGGGUAACGGCCCACCAAGGCGACGAUGCGUAGGGGUUCUGAGAGGAAGGUCCCCCACACUGGUACUGAGACACGGACCAGACUCCUACGGGAGGCAGCAGUGAGGAAUAUUGGUCAAUGGGCGCGAGCCUGAACCAGCCAAGUCGCGUGAGGGAAGACGGUCCUAUGGAUUGUAAACCUCUUUUGUCGGGGAGCAAAAGACGCCACGCGUGGCGUUCCGAGAGUACCCGAAGAAAAAGCAUCGGCUAACUCCGUGCCAGCAGCCGCGGUAAUACGGAGGAUGCGAGCGUUAUCCGGAUUUAUUGGGUUUAAAGGGUGCGCAGGCGGAAGAUCAAGUCAGCGGUAAAAUUGAGAGGCUCAACCUCUUCGAGCCGUUGAAACUGGUUUUCUUGAGUGAGCGAGAAGUAUGCGGAAUGCGUGGUGUAGCGGUGAAAUGCAUAGAUAUCACGCAGAACUCCGAUUGCGAAGGCAGCAUACCGGCGCUCAACUGACGCUCAUGCACGAAAGUGUGGGUAUCGAACAGGAUUAGAUACCCUGGUAGUCCACACAGUAAACGAUGAAUAAUGAUUGUUCGGGGAGAAUGAUCCCUGAGUGAUACAG
rnacentral:rRNA from 1 species